UUUAAGUGCAACUAUAAGUUUCCGUACUCAACUUUGAUCAUCCAUCUUAUUUAAAUUUAUUUUUUUAAUAGUAAGUAGUAUUUUUAUUGUUACGAGAUAAUAAAAUAUAAAUAGUAUUUUAUGUGUAACUUAUAUUUUUAUUUUUUAAAAAAAAUUAGAUAAGAUGUACCAUCAAAAUUUGGCACGGAAAAUAGGCGGAGGGAGUAGC
rfam:Oryza meridionalis cultivar OR44 (W2112) chromosome 3, whole genome shotgun sequence.